rnacentral:rRNA from 1 species
GGGUUGUGAGGUUAAGCGACUAAGCGUACACGGUGGAUGCCCUGGCAGUCAGAGGCGAUGAAGGACGUGCUAAUCUGCGAUAAGCGUCGGUAAGGUGAUAUGAACCGUUAUAACCGGCGAUUUCCGAAUGGGGAAACCCAGUGUGUUUCGACACACUAUCAUUAACUGAAUCCAUAGGUUAAUGAGGCGAACCGGGGGAACUGAAACAUCUAAGUACCCCGAGGAAAAGAAAUCAACCGAGAUUCCCCCAGUAGCGGCGAGCGAACGGGGAGCAGCCCAGAGCCUGAAUCAGUGUGUGUGUUAGUGGAAGCGUCUGGAAAGGCGCGCGAUACAGGGUGACAGCCCCGUACACAAAAAUGCACAUGCUGUGAGCUCGAUGAGUAGGGCGGGACACGUGGUAUCCUGUCUGAAUAUGGGGGGACCAUCCUCCAAGGCUAAAUACUCCUGACUGACCGAUAGUGAACCAGUACCGUGAGGGAAAGGCGAAAAGAACCCCGGCGAGGGGAGUGAAAAAGAACCUGAAACCGUGUACGUACAAGCAGUGGGAGCACGCUUAGGCGUGUGACUGCGUACCUUUUGUAUAAUGGGUCAGCGACUUAUAUUCUGUAGCAAGGUUAACCGAAUAGGGGAGCCGAAGGGAAACCGAGUCUUAACUGGGCGUUAAGUUGCAGGGUAUAGACCCGAAACCCGGUGAUCUAGCCAUGGGCAGGUUGAAGGUUGGGUAACACUAACUGGAGGACCGAACCGACUAAUGUUGAAAAAUUAGCGGAUGACUUGUGGCUGGGGGUGAAAGGCCAAUCAAACCGGGAGAUAGCUGGUUCUCCCCGAAAGCUAUUUAGGUAGCGCCUCGUGAAUUCAUCUCCGGGGGUAGAGCACUGUUUCGGCAAGGGGGUCAUCCCGACUUACCAACCCGAUGCAAACUGCGAAUACCGGAGAAUGUUAUCACGGGAGACACACGGCGGGUGCUAACGUCCGUCGUGAAGAGGGAAACAACCCAGACCGCCAGCUAAGGUCCCAAAGUCAUGGUUAAGUGGGAAACGAUGUGGGAAGGCCCAGACAGCCAGGAUGUUGGCUUAGAAGCAGCCAUCAUUUAAAGAAAGCGUAAUAGCUCACUGGUCGAGUCGGCCUGCGCGGAAGAUGUAACGGGGCUAAACCAUGCACCGAAGCUGCGGCAGCGACGCUUAUGCGUUGUUGGGUAGGGGAGCGUUCUGUAAGCCUGUGAAGGUGUACUGUGAGGUAUGCUGGAGGUAUCAGAAGUGCGAAUGCUGACAUAAGUAACGAUAAAGCGGGUGAAAAGCCCGCUCGCCGGAAGACCAAGGGUUCCUGUCCAACGUUAAUCGGGGCAGGGUGAGUCGACCCCUAAGGCGAGGCCGAAAGGCGUAGUCGAUGGGAAACAGGUUAAUAUUCCUGUACUUGGUGUUACUGCGAAGGGGGGACGGAGAAGGCUAUGUUGGCCGGGCGACGGUUGUCCCGGUUUAAGCGUGUAGGCUGGUUUUCCAGGCAAAUCCGGAAAAUCAAGGCUGAGGCGUGAUGACGAGGCACUACGGUGCUGAAGCAACAAAUGCCCUGCUUCCAGGAAAAGCCUCUAAGCAUCAGGUAACAUCAAAUCGUACCCCAAACCGACACAGGUGGUCAGGUAGAGAAUACCAAGGCGCUUGAGAGAACUCGGGUGAAGGAACUAGGCAAAAUGGUGCCGUAACUUCGGGAGAAGGCACGCUGAUAUGUAGGUGAAGUCCCUCGCGGAUGGAGCUGAAAUCAGUCGAAGAUACCAGCUGGCUGCAACUGUUUAUUAAAAACACAGCACUGUGCAAACACGAAAGUGGACGUAUACGGUGUGACGCCUGCCCGGUGCCGGAAGGUUAAUUGAUGGGGUUAGCGCAAGCGAAGCUCUUGAUCGAAGCCCCGGUAAACGGCGGCCGUAACUAUAACGGUCCUAAGGUAGCGAAAUUCCUUGUCGGGUAAGUUCCGACCUGCACGAAUGGCGUAAUGAUGGCCAGGCUGUCUCCACCCGAGACUCAGUGAAAUUGAACUCGCUGUGAAGAUGCAGUGUACCCGCGGCAAGACGGAAAGACCCCGUGAACCUUUACUAUAGCUUGACACUGAACAUUGAGCCUUGAUGUGUAGGAUAGGUGGGAGGCUUUGAAGUGUGGACGCCAGUCUGCAUGGAGCCGACCUUGAAAUACCACCCUUUAAUGUUUGAUGUUCUAACGUUGACCCGUAAUCCGGGUUGCGGACAGUGUCUGGUGGGUAGUUUGACUGGGGCGGUCUCCUCCUAAAGAGUAACGGAGGAGCACGAAGGUUGGCUAAUCCUGGUCGGACAUCAGGAGGUUAGUGCAAUGGCAUAAGCCAGCUUGACUGCGAGCGUGACGGCGCGAGCAGGUGCGAAAGCAGGUCAUAGUGAUCCGGUGGUUCUGAAUGGAAGGGCCAUCGCUCAACGGAUAAAAGGUACUCCGGGGAUAACAGGCUGAUACCGCCCAAGAGUUCAUAUCGACGGCGGUGUUUGGCACCUCGAUGUCGGCUCAUCACAUCCUGGGGCUGAAGUAGGUCCCAAGGGUAUGGCUGUUCGCCAUUUAAAGUGGUACGCGAGCUGGGUUUAGAACGUCGUGAGACAGUUCGGUCCCUAUCUGCCGUGGGCGCUGGAGAACUGAGGGGGGCUGCUCCUAGUACGAGAGGACCGGAGUGGACGCAUCACUGGUGUUCGGGUUGUCAUGCCAAUGGCACUGCCCGGUAGCUAAAUGCGGAAGAGAUAAGUGCUGAAAGCAUCUAAGCACGAAACUUGCCCCGAGAUGAGUUCUCCCUGAGACUUUAAGUCUCCUGAAGGAACGUUGAAGACGACGACGUUGAUAGGCCGGGUGUGUAAGCGCAGCGAUGCGUUGAGCUAACCGGUACUAAUGAACCGUGAGGCUUAACCUUACAACGCCGAAGGUGUUU